GCAGCGCGCGCAACAAAACACAUAAAUUCAUAAACUAAUUUACAAAUAUUAAACAUUUUAACAUUAUUAAGCGCGCUUGCCGAGUGACCGAUGCCAUCUCUGUUAAGGAACACACUCGUCGUUUCGCGGCAGCAAAUCCUCACACAAAUAGCCCUCGGAACGUCAUCCCUGACCUGAAGCUGAAGGAAUGAGAGAGUUGGACCUGCUCUGUGGUUUGAAGGGGAUUUGAAGAUGACGUGCAGCCAGGAAAAUAUUCAGUGUGACAACAGACCAUAUGUCCCAAGGUCAAACGAACCGUGGCCACACCUCACUGCUGACGAUCCCGCAUGGCUUGCAGAAAGAGCCUCGAAAAUCAUUACGCCAUCACUCCUCAGCCUUUUAAUAUGCGAGCGCGACUGUAAAGUUAAAGCCGAUAAAUUAGGCCGGCGACCUCAGACCUUACAGUUGCUUGGAGAGCUGCUGGGAAAGCACAGCUGCUUUGACUGAGCAUUUGCAUCGGGUCUUCAGGGGUUACCACACCGCGGGCACACAUUUACAUGGCACAUGAGGCUAUUACAGCUUGCAUGCAAAGUCUGUUACUGUCUGCCGCGGUUCUACGGUCCGGUGAGGACACGAGCUAGGUGGUGGGACGGCAACAAUCACGCGUUUGUCGACACGAUUAAGCUGAACACAACGUGCUAUUUAGAGAUGCACGUUUGUCAGUUCAGCUAAUACGUCUGUCAUUAUCGACACUGACUUGUUUUACCGAAAUAAUGCACUUUAAAAUGCAUUUAUCGCCAUUUAUAUUCAUUAACAUAAACUAACAAGGAACAGUAUGUCUGAAGCGUUUGUCAAUCUACGCCAUGCAAAUUUCAGCGUUUACCAAUAAGCUGCUUUUUUUUUAAAUAUUUACAUCAGUGCGCCUUGAACUAACAUAAAAAAAAUAGCUAAUUGUAAUGUAUAUUAUUGUAACACGAAUUGAUAAUAUUAGCUAAUGAGACCUCGUUUUGAAGUGUCAUUUAAAGCAUUUGUAAAAGUAAUCAUGAAUAAUCGUUCAUAAAAAGGUCAAACAUAAUAAUGCGCACAGAGCGUAUCUCAACAGUGGUGACGGAUAACAAAUGUUUCUUUAUGUUACAAAUAAAUCAUUCA